UACAGAGGGUGCAAGCGUUGUUCGGAAUUAUUGGGCGUAAAGGGCGCGUAGGCGGUGCCACAAGUCACCUGUGAAAUCUCCGGGCUUAACUCGGAGCCUGCAGGCGAAACUGUGGUGCUGGAGUGUGGGAGAGGUGCGUGGAAUUCCUGGUGUAGUGGUGAAAUGCGUAGAGAUCAGGAGGAACACCGGUGGCGAAGGCGGCCUACUGGGCCAUCGCUGACGCUGAGGCGCGAAAGCUCGGGGAGCGAACGGG
rnacentral:rRNA from 1 species